UAGGAGCUUGACGGUACCGUAGAGAAUAAGGAUCGGCUAACUCCGUGCCAGCAGCCGCGGUAAUACGGAGGAUCCAAGCGUUAUCCGGAAUCAUUGGGUUUAAAGGGUCUGUAGGCGGUCUUGUAAGUCAGUGGUGAUAGCCCAUCGCUCAGCGGUGGAACGGCCAUUGAUACUGCUGGACUUGAGUUAUUGGGAAGCAACUAGAAUAUGUAGAUGUAGCGGUGA
rnacentral:rRNA from 1 species